UAGAUUUUUAAAAAUGAUAUUUAGUUUGAUGUGUUUAGGUUAUACUAUAGCAAUUGAAAUUACGUUCAAAUUGAUCAUAAUUCCAACUGUGACGGUCGGAGAGAUUAACUUUUUUUUAAAAAAAAACUCAUCUCCCUAAUUAUUUUUUAAAUGAAAAAUAUAUUUAUUUUCUAUUUUGGAAGUAAUCUAACCACCAUAAAUAUAAAAUAAUAAUAUUUUUCAAAUGCACUUCUUAACUAUAUCCAACCAAAUAAAUAAUUUAUACUUGCAGUGCGUUCUACUGUAUCCAACCAAACGAAAUAUGUAUAGUUGUAACCACAGAAUCUCUAAGUGCAUAUAUCUUUAAUUAUACGGUAUUUCUAAUUAUAUCCAACCAAACGGUCCGCAAAGUAGAUCAAUAUUUUUGUUUCGAUAAAAACUUCCUUAAAACAC
rnacentral:lncRNA from 1 species